UNUGACUGCAUGCCACCUAAACUAGGGUU
rnacentral:piRNA from 1 species